rnacentral:tRNA from 1 species
GGGGGCAUAGCUCAGUUGGGAGAGCACCUGCUUUGCAAGCAGGAGGUCAGCGGUUCGAACCCGCUUGCCUCCACCA